rnacentral:lncRNA from 1 species
UGGAGUCUGAUGACCAAGGGCAGGAAGCAUCCAGCACGGGACAAAGAAGAAAGCCAGAAGACUCAGCAAGCCAGCUCAUCUCACUUUCUUCUGCCUACUUUGUUGUAGCUGAGCUGGCAGCCAGUUGGAUGGUGCACACUCACAUUGAGGAUUGGGAGGCUGCUGUGUAUGGAUAAGAUACCUGCUACAGCCAGCUUGACACCAUGAGAAGGACAAGAGAAUUGCAGAGACACAUAUCCAGGAUUCUGAUCCAGUUGAGGCACUGAAAUAAUCUAGAACCACCUUCAAAUUUCUUAUAAAGAGAGCUAUGCUAUUAGGAUUUAAUUAAAUGGAUGCCAACAGCAAGUAAACCAUCUCCAAAGAUGCCAUGAAGCUCUCCUAAUUGCAGGAAAAUAUCAGAGGCACUUGAUUUGAGUCUUUCAAGUACGGAAAUAACAAAUUCAGUCUCAACAGACCUAUAGUGAAUGAGAAUGAUUGUCACAUAAUGUGUAGAGAAAAUGGAAGAAUCAAAGGCAAGGGAAACCUGUACAGUGGAGACACAAAGGGUCACUGGCAGAUUUCAAAUGAUCCAAGACAUCCUCAAGGAAGAUUUACCACAAGUUACUUUAUCAUAGCUUUGAGUGGCAUUUUAAUAUCAUAUUUUAAAAGAAAGAAAACAAUAGAAAUGUAUUAAAAUAUCUUCUCAAGAAUCCUUCCAAACCACAAGGAAAAUCACCAGGCCAAAAGUGAGGUUUGAAGUCUGGACAUGUACUGGUUUUCUCUAGCAAUCGACUCUCAAUUUUUGGACAUUGAGAUCUGCUGGUUGGAGAUCUUAGUGCCCAAGGAAGAAUGCUUGCAAAAGGAGAUGGAACAGUGUUUCUGUUGCAUUGGCCACUGAGAAUAUCUGGUUAUUUUGAAUUUGUCACAGUCUGCAGCUAAAAGGCGAACAGGAAAAGAAGAGAGAGCGGUAAUUUGAAUGAUAGCAGAUUUCACAUCAGGAACCAAUGAAGCUAGAUAAGAAUGCAACAUCUUUGAUGUCUAAAAGAAACAAAAAGCCAACCUUGAAUUCUUUAUUUAGUGAAGUUACCCUUCAGAAAUGACGGCAAAAUAAAGAUGUUUUCCAAUAAAAGACAACUAUGAGAAUUCUUCACCAGCAGUCCUAUUGUAUCAGAACAGCCAAAAGAAGUUUGUCAGCCUACAGGGAAUUAUAUCAAAGGGAAGACUUGACCUUGAAAAUGAAUGAGGAAUAUAAGAAAUUGAUAUUAUCUGGCAGGAAUUCACUGAAUGUCUAUCUAUCAUGUAUGCUGUUGGAGGCACCUGUCUUUCAGUUCAGAGGUUAUGGAUGUAUCUAUCAUCAGUAUUUCGGGAAGUCAGGGACCCGGAACAGAGGGACUUAAUGAAGCUGUGGCAGAAGAAAAAAUUAUGAAGAUUUCAUGGACAUUUAUUAGUUCCCCAAAUUAAUACUUUUAUAAUUUCUUACA